rnacentral:rRNA from 1 species
AACGGCGAGUGAAGCGGCAAGAGCUCAAAUUUGAAAUCUGGCCUCCUCCGGGGGUCYGAGUUGUAAUUUGCAGAGGAUGCUUCGGGUGCGGCCCCCGUCUAAGUUCCUUGGAACAGGACGUCAGAGAGGGUGAGAAUCCCGUCUUGGGCGGGCGGCCCGCGCCCGUGUGAAGCUCCUUCGACGAGUCGAGUUGUUUGGGAAUGCAGCUCUAAGCGGGUGGUAAAUUUCAUCUAAAGCUAAAUACUGGCCGGAGACCGAUAGCGCACAAGUAGAGUGAUCGAAAGGUUAAAAGCACCUUGAAAAGGGAGUUAAACAGCACGUGAAAUUGUUGAAAGGGAAGCGCUUGCGGCCAGACUCGGGGGCGGGGUUCAGCGGGCGCUCGUCGCCCGUGCACUCCCCGCGCCCCGGGCCAGCAUCAGUUUCGACGGCCGGUCAAAGGCCCCCGGAAUGUGUCGUCUCUAGGGACGUCUUAUAGCCGGGGGUGCAAUGCGGCCCGUCGGGACUGAGGAACGCGCUCCGGCUCGGAUGCUGGCGUAAUGGCCGUAAGCGGCCCGUCUUGAAACACGGACCAAGGAGUCUAACAUCCACGCGAGUGUUCGGGUGUCAAACCCGUGCGCGCAGUGAAAGCGAACGGAGGUGGGAGCCUUUGGGCGCACCAUCGACCGAUCCUGAAGUCUUCGGAUGGAUUUGAGUAGGAGCGUGGCCGUUGGGACCCGAAAGAUGGUGAACUAUGCCUGAAUAGGGUGAAGCCAGAGGAAACUCUGGUGGAGGCUCGCAGCGGUUCUGACGUGCAAAUCGAUCGUCAAAUUU